rnacentral:rRNA from 1 species
UACGUAGGAGGCAAGCGUUGUCCGGAGUUACUGGGCGUAAAGCGCACGCAGGCGGUCUUGUCAGUCUGUAGGGACAGGGCACAGCUCAACUGUGUCAGGCUUAUGGAAACUGCAAGACUUGAGGGCUUCAGAGGGAUGGGGAAUUCCGGGUGGAGUGGUGAAAUGCGUAGAGAUCCGGAAGAACACCAAAGGCGAAGGCAAUGUUCUGGCUCGUUUCUGACGCUCAGGUGCGAAAGCCAGGGGAGCGAACGGG